AUGAUGAGGAACAGUUAAAUUAUUAUGGUUAGAACACAUAUGAUAAAACCGUGAUUAUUAAUUAACUAGGGCGGACUGAUUUG
rnacentral:ncRNA from 13 species